UGGGCUAUCGCCAAGCGGUAAGGCACAGAGCUUUGACCUCUGCACAAGCCAUCAGAAAUGGUGGUUCAUGGGUUCGAAUCCCAUUAGCCCAG
rnacentral:tRNA from 1 species